CGUGUUUGCGUCAGAUGAAGAUUAUGUCACUCUCUUGGUACAGCUGUAUAGUAAAGCAUGUGAACAGUUUUGUCAGAAAAAGCUGCUGCUCACUGGCAGUACAGCGUCAGCACAUUCUCCUGAUUUCCUCUGACAAGAAGAACUGGAGGUCGAAGGUCACGGGACACAAUUUCUAACCAAGCCAUGUAGAGGGCACUUGGACAUGCCCCUCUUCGUCCAACAGGCAUGGUGCUGCCAAACAAAAAGUCACAGAUGACAGGUUUCUUAUACAGCACAUAUCCCAGCAGGAAGAUGAUUAUGCCAAUGGCUAUGAGAGCAGCCCACCAGGUUAGGAGAAACAUGAUGAUUACAGACACUACAGCUCCAAGCAAAGACAGCCACUUGCU